rnacentral:rRNA from 1 species
CCUACGGGGGGCAGCAGUAAGGAAUAUUGGUCAAUGGACGCAAGUCUGAACCAGCCAUGCCGCGUGGAGGAUGAAGGUCCUCUGGAUUGUAAACUUCUUUUAUUUGGGAAGAAACCCACGAUUUCUAUUGUGGUUGACGGUACCAGAUGAAUAAGCACCGGCUAACUCCGUGCCAGCAGCCGCGGUAAUACGGAGGGUGCAAGCGUCAUCGGGAUUCAAUGGGUUUAAAGGGGGCGUGUGCGUCAAUGUAGAAAUCCCCGAGCUUAACUUGGGAACUGCCGUUGAUACUAUCUGUCUUGAAUACUGUGGAGGUAAGCGGAAUAUGUCAUGUAGCGGUGAAAUGCUUAGAUAUGACAUAGAACACCUAUUGCGAAGGCAGCUUGCUACACAGUCAUUGACGCUGAGGCACGAAAGCGUGGGGAUCAAACAGGAUUAGAUACCCUAGUAGUC